rnacentral:lncRNA from 1 species
CAAAAAAACAAUAGUCUGUUUUAUUCACAGCACAUGUAGAAGUUGGAACAUCGACUGAAUUCCACUUUCUUCUCUCGCAGUGUGUCUGUAACCAGCUAAUGAGCUGCAACAGAGCCUGGCCUUCAUUUUCAGCAAAUUAAGUUCAUCCCUCAUAGGAAUUGUGGUCUGGCUGUGGCACCACUCCUAGGUAUGGGUGGGAUUUGUUUCUUCUACCAGUUGUAGGUUAGCCACAUGGGUACGUGCUGUCGCACCACACAACAGAAUUUUCUCUAUAAUAACCAGUCUAAGUAGCCUUUUACCCCACAAAAGUAGAUCCCAUUUAAUUUACUUUGUGUUUAUAGCACUCCCUCUCAAACCGCAUC